rnacentral:lncRNA from 1 species
UCAUACUCGUGCAUUUUCUCCUCGAUCGAUUCCAUCUCAACUAUGCAACCUGGCGGUUCGUCCAACAAUGGGCAUCGAUCGAUAUCAAGGGGGUGGUGUCGAUUGGUAACUGGUUGGCGGUGUCGAUCGAUGUCGGGUGGGUGUAGAUAGAUGCUAUCUGCUGAGUGUCGAUCGAUGAUAUAGGGUGGGCAUUGAUCGAUGAUGUGGGGUGGUUUUUGAUCGAUUUCAUCAGGUUGGUGUCGAU